rnacentral:rRNA from 1 species
AGGACGAACGCUGGCGGCGUGCUUAACACAUGCAAGUCGAACGAGAAUCUACUGAAAGAGUUUUCGGACAAUGGAUGUAGAGGAAAGUGGCGGACGGGUGAGUAACGCGUGAGGAACCUGCCUUGAAGAGGGGGGACAACAGUUGGAAACGACUGCUAAUACCGCAUGAAGCAUAGGGGUCGCAUGAUUCUUAUGCCAAAGAUUUAUCGCUUCAAGAUGGCCUCGCGUCUGAUUAGCUAGUUGGCGGGGUAACGGCCCACCAAGGCGACGAUCAGUAGGGGUUCUGAGAGGAAGGUCCCCCACAUUGGAACUGAGACACGGUCCAAACUCCUACGGGAGGCAGCAGUGGGGAAUAUUGCACAAUGGGCGAAAGCCUGAUGCAGCGACGCCGCGUGAGCGAAGAAGUAUUUCGGUAUGUAAAGCUCUAUCAGCAGGGAAGAUAAUGACGGUACCUGACUAAGAAGCACCGGCUAAAUACGUG